UAGGGAAUCUUCCGCAAUGGGCGAAAGCCUGACGGAGCAACGCCGCGUGAGUGAUGAAGGUCUUCGGAUCGUAAAACUCUGUUAUUAGGGAAGAACAAAUGUGUAAGUAACUAUGCACGUCUUGACGGUACCUAAUCAGAAAGCCACGGCUAACUACGUGCCAGCAGCCGCGGUAAUACGUAGGUGGCAAGCGUUAUCCGGAAUUAUUGGGCGUAAAGCGCGCGUAGGCGGUUUUUUAAGUCUGAUGUGAAAGCCCACGGCUCAACCGUGGAGGGUCAUUUGAAACUGGAAAACUUGAGUGCAGAAGAGGAAAGUGGAAUUCCAUGUGUAGCGGUGAAAUGCGCAUAGAUAUGGAGGAACACCAGUGGCGAAGGCUACUUUCUGGUCUGUUACUGACGCUGAUGUGCGAAAGCGUGGGGAUCAAACAGG
rnacentral:rRNA from 1 species